rnacentral:sRNA from 1 species
GAUUAUAUGUCAUGUGUAGUAUUGAGUAUAAAAACUAGAACCACAACUGGAUCCCAAAAGCAAAAGUAGUGUUUCCUUGUUAGAAGAUACAAAGGCAAAGACUCAUACGGACUUCGGCUACACCAUGAAAAUUUUGAGAAGCAAUAAGAAGCUUGGUUAGUGUUUUGGAGUCAAAUAUGACUAGAUGUCAUGUGUAUGAUUGAGUAUAAGAACUAGAAUGGCAACCGAUUCCCAAUAGCUAAAGUUAUGUUUCCCUGUUAGAAGAUACAAAGCCAAAGAAUCAUACGGACUUCGUGUACACCAUCAAAAUUUUGAGAGGC